CUAUGCCUACGGGAGGCAGCAGUGAGGAAUAUUGGUCAAUGGGCGGGAGCCUGAACCAGCCACGUCGCGUGAGGGACGACGGUCCUAUGGAUUGUAAACCUCUUUUGUCGGGGAACAAAGGCGUCCACGGGUGGGCGGAUGAGUGUACCCGAAGAAAAAGCAUCGGCUAACUCCGUGCCAGCAGCCGCGGUAAUACGGAGGAUCCGAGCGUUAUCCGGAUUUAUUGGGUUUAAAGGGAGCGUAGAUGGGUUGUUAAGUCAGUUGUGAAAGU
rnacentral:rRNA from 1 species